CGGAAUCGGUGCCUAUACAAGAAGCUACAUAUUAACUUCUGAAGAGCCGCAUGUGGCUCCGGAACCACAGGUUGGCCUCCCCUGAUGUAGCAUGUAGAGUGCUCAGAAGUUAAAUUGAGCCUGCUUUCUAAUAUAGACAGAGUCUGGAAUUGUAAAGGGUGAUCAGAGUUAGCUGUCAAGUGUCAAAGUCACAUACAGAAACAUCAUGAGAACAGCCUAAUCCUGAAAUUUCUGCAUAGUGAGACAGCUAGAAGAACUCAAGAUCCAAGGGCCCAGCAUCAAAGAGGGAAUGAACAGGGCCUGUAAGAUGGUUGAGAAAAGAAAAGUUACUACAUUCAAUCUUUACAUCGAUGGUUGGCCAAGAGUUCCUGCACCUCCAGUGUACCCAUCAUGCCACUGACAGAAUGGCUCUUUCUUCAGUUGGUGUAUUGUAUUACCUUCAACAAUUCCUCUUACUCAUAUCCUUCUCAAAGAAAGCAUACAUAAAUUGUGUGUCAUUCUGAACUUGAUCUUUUAGGUGCUGAAUAUUCUGGUCCCAAUAUAGCAAAGCACUUAGGAUGGGAUUUUCAGAAGUGCCUAAGGGAGUUAGGCACUCAAUUCCUUUAGGGACUUUUGAAAAUCACUCUUAAGCAAGUAAUUAAUUGUAAGCAUGUGAGCAGUCCCAUUAGCUUCAAUGGUACUACUCACAAAUUUAAAAUUGGGCAUGUGCCCAAGUGCUUUGCUUGGUUGGGACUAGAGUGCUCAGAAUCUGGCAGUAUCAAGCCUUGUAUGAAAUGUUUUGAAAGGAUGCUGGACUUCUGCCCUACCAGCUGGAUUCAGCUACAAAAUCUGAGCAUUGAUCUCUCCAACCACUGGCCACCAUACUUCUCAGCCUCAAACAGUGAGAAAUCUCAAGGCAGACCUGCCAAGUGUUACUUACUGUUGAGAAAAGAUUAAUUCAUUUGUGCUUAAUUUUAUGCCAGUUUUGAAAGUAUUUCACUCUUGUAAUGAAUGUGUUUCAAUGAGACUUUUAAAAUAUCAGUCCUCAUUUUUUUAAAUCAGACGCAUUUAAAUUUUUACAGUGUGAAUGAACCUUAAAUGUUUUAGCAAUAACUAAAUAAAAAUGAAUGUGAAUGUUUUUGUUCUUUUUAGCUAAUUAAAUACAAAAUAAUAAUAUCUGUAAGGAAGGGAAUGUUGUCUAAAGAUUGGAGGAAAAAAUUAGAGUCUGUUCUCAGCAUGACAUUCUGCAUAACCUUGGAUAAAUUAAUUUGCUUCUCUCUGCCUUACUUUCCAUUUGUAAAAUGGAAAUAAUAAAAUGUAUCUAGUCUUA